rfam:Nicotiana attenuata strain TT scaffold02872, whole genome shotgun sequence.
UGGAUAGAUUAUUGUAUUCUAAUUUAUUCGACUGUAUUCACGGCGUGAAACAUGGGAUUACACUAUUUUUAAACGGAAAGUGAAUCAAUUAACAUAAUAGACUCCU